rnacentral:lncRNA from 1 species
CAGGAGCAGACGUAUGCAGAAGUCUCUCUCUUCCAGGUACCAGCUACCAGCUCCUUAUCUCCGUGAAGGAAGGCAGACUUGAAACCGAACGACAGAGGGGGGAGCAACUGCCCUAUAGCCCGGCAGGUCUUCAAGUCUGUGGCUGUGGGCAGCAACCCAGCCAAGGAAAGGGAAGCCCUGCAGCACCAGUGCAGGUUAGUGAGAGGAGGAGUGUGCUCCACCCUGGAAGUAGAGCAGAAGCUGGGGAGGCCACUGCUCACCCCCU